rnacentral:rRNA from 1 species
CCCUUAGACGUUCUGGGCCGCACGCGCGCUACACUGACCAGUGCAACAAGCAUCCGUCCUUGGCCGACAGGCUCGGGCAAUCUUUGAACGCUGGUCGUGAUGGGGAUAGACUUUUGCAAUUUUUGGUCUUCAACGAGGAAUUCCUAGUAAACGCAAGUCAUCAACUUGCAUUGAUUACGUCCCUGCCCUUUGUACACACCGCCCGUCGCACCUACCGAUUGAAUGGUCCGGUGAAGCCUCCGGAUUGGCGUGAGUCGGAGCAAUCUGACAAACACCGGAAAGUUGAUUAAACCUUACCAUUUAGAGGAAGGUGAAGUCGUAACA